GACACACUCACACCCGGCUUUCUCUACAACAUUUCAACGUCAUGAAAUCUACUCGAAUCCGAUUCUGUGUUAUAGUACUGCACUCUUAUUAUUUUUUCGCCAUAACUUGGAGGCUUCUCUGAGACAGUGUAAGCUAAACGCUGAUGCUGAACGAACCAAGAAAACGAAACAUAGCAUUCUGCCGGCGCUACUUUUCUUUCAUCCAUAGGCUACAUUUGCUUCAGAAGUUUUCUCCCCAAAUGUAAGCGACGGCGAAGGUAUUUUUGUACGUUUCUUUGGUUGUUCAUGCACUUUUACUUUUUGUGCUAUUUAGUAUUUUUCUCUACAAAACAGACCAACAGUUCCAUGGACAAUAUUUUAGAAAAGCGGGUGGUCUCCAUUACGGAAUACAAUUGGCGACUGAAUGAAUUGAGGCCACACACAGAAAGGGAACAGUUGAUUCGGCACUACGAACUGAAAUAAUUCGGAUUCUUUGCCGCUAUUCACGUGGUUCCGUCUACAGGAAGUGAUCUGGUCUGGUGGUGGUGUAGUCAGGUGGUGGUGUAGUCAGGUGCGGUGUGGUCCAGGGUGUAUAGCCGCUGCUGCUUCUCUCCCUCCGCCUGACGCCCUCUGCUGGCCCUGCCCAUGGCACAUACUGCUCUCCUGUGAAUCUCAUCCAGCAAGCUGGACACCGCAGCUUCACACCACAACACCUCUGCCUCCACCUCCGCCCCUCCCCACAGGGAACCCUCCAAUCCGCAGCCAGACUACCCCAGCGCGCACGGCCCCCGCGAAGAGCAGUAUGUGACUGAGGUCGCGCCCCCCGAUGAUGUCACCACCGUCUACAGAGAUGCCGGGACCAUCACUGAUGUGUGUAACAGUACUGAUCUUCCAGAGGUGGAGAUCAUCAGUCUGCUGGAGGAGCAGCUGCCCCACUACAAGCUGAGAGCAGACACCAUCUACGGGUAUGACCACGACGACUGGCUCCACACCCCUCUCCUCUCCCCCGAUACCAACCUGGACCUCACCGUCGAGCAGAUUGAGGAGACACUG